GAUGAACGCUGGCGGCGUGCUUAACACAUGCAAGUCGAACGGUGAACACGGAGCUUGCUCUGUGGGAUCAGUGGCGAACGGGUGAGUAACACGUGAGCAACCUGCCCCUGACUCUGGGAUAAGCGCUGGAAACGGCGUCUAAUACUGGAUAUGUGACGUGACCGCAUGGUCUGCGUUUGGAAAGAUUUUUCGGUUGGGGAUGGGCUCGCGGCCUAUCAGCUUGUUGGUGAGGUAAUGGCUCACCAAGGCGUCGACGGGUAGCCGGCCUGAGAGGGUGACCGGCCACACUGGGACUGAGACACGGCCCAGACUCCUACGGGAGGCAGCAGUGGGGAAUAUUGCACAAUGGGCGCAAGCCUGAUGCAGCAACGCCGCGUGAGGGAUGACGGCCUUCGGAUUGUAAACCUCUUUUAGCAGGGAAGAAGCGAAAGUGACGGUACCUGCAGAAAAAGCGCCGGCUAACUACGUG
rnacentral:rRNA from 1 species